rnacentral:rRNA from 1 species
GGAGGAGUUUGAUCGUGGCUCAGGACGAAGGCCGGCGGCGUGCUUAACACAUGCAAGCUCGAACGCUGAAGCCUGGUGCUUGCACCGGGUGGAUGAGUGGCGAACGGGUGAGUAAUACGUGAGUGACCUGCCUUUGACUCUGGGAUAAGCCUGGGAAACUGGGUCUAAUACCGGAUGCGACUACUGCCCGCAUGGGCUGGUGGUGGAAAGGGUUAUGUACUGGUCUUAGAUGGGCUCACGGCCUAUCAGCUGGUUGGUGGGGUAAUGGCCUACCAAGGCGACGACGGGUAGCCGGCCUGAGAGGGUGACCGGCCACACUGGGACUGAGACACGGCCCAGACUCCUACGGGAGGCAGCAGUGGGGAAUAUUGCACAAUGGGCGCAAGCCUGAUGCAGCGACGCCGCGUGAGGGAUGACGGCCUUCGGGUUGUAAACCUCUUUCAGCAGGGAAGAAGCGGAAGUGACGGUACCUGCAGAAGAAGCGCCGGCUAACUACGUGCCAGCCGCCGCCGUAACACAACC